AGUAACGCGUGAGGAACCUGCCUCAAAGAGGGGGACAACAGUUGGAAACGGCUGCUAAUACCGCAUAAGCCCACGGCUCGGCAUCGAGCAGAGGGAAAAGGAGCAAUCCGCUUUGAGAUGGCCUCGCGUCCGAUUAGCUAGUUGGUGAGGUAAUGGCCCACCAAGGCAACGAUCGGUAGCCGGACUGAGAGGUUGAAUGGCCACAUUAGGACUGAGACACGGCCCAG
rnacentral:rRNA from 1 species